AGAGCUCAAGACCUCUACUUGCAUAUCCAUGGCAGUCUAUCCUCUUGCCUUGAAACCAUACAAGCUUCUGAGAAUUCAGGAUAGAUAAUAUCCUGCGGAUUGAUUCCUCAGGUUUCUACCAUGGGUGACAGAGGAACAAGCAAUCACUCAGAAAUGACUGACUUCAUUCUUGCAGGCUUCAGGAAAGAGGAGAUUAGGGCACACAGAGGGAUACCAGGGGUGCAUGUGCACAGAACAUCAGCCAUGUGAAGAAUCAACAAGAGGGCAGCCAUCUGCAAGCUAAGGAAAGAGGGCUCAGAGAAAACCAACUCUGCUGACACCUUGAUCUUGGACUUCCAGCCUCCAUCACUAAGAAAAUUAAUUUCUGUUGUUUAAGAACCCAGUGUGUGGUGUUUUGUUAUGGAAUCUCCAGCAAAUUCAUACAAAUAGGUCUAUAAAUUGGAAAAGAAGAGAAAAUGUUCCUUUUUUGCAAACAUAUCUAUGUAGAAAAUUAAAAAUAAUAAAC
rnacentral:sRNA from 1 species